rnacentral:rRNA from 1 species
GAGUUUGAUCCUGGCUCAGGAUGAACGCUGGCGGUAUGCCUAACACAUGCAAGUCGAACGGAAUCGCAAGAUUCAGUGGCGGACGGGUGAGUAACGCGUGAGAAUCUGCCUCCAGAAUGGGGACAACGGUUGGAAACGACUGCUAAUACCCAAUGAGCCGAAUGGUAAAAGAUUUAUCGUCUGGAGAGGAGCUCGCGUCCGAUUAGCUAGUUGGUGGGGUAAAAGCGUACCAAGGCAGCGAUCGGUAGCUGGUCUGAGAGGAUGAGCAGCCACACUGGGACUGAGACACGGCCCAGACUCCUACGGGAGGCAGCAGUGGGGAAUUUUCCGCAAUGGGCGAAAGCCUGACGGAGCAAUACCGCGUGAGGGAGGAAGGCUUUUGGGUUGUAAACCUCUUUUCUCAAGGAAGAACACAAUGACGGUACUUGAGGAAUCAGCAUCGGCUAACUCCGUGCCAGCAGCCGCGGUAAUACGGAGGAUGCAAGCGUUAUCCGGAAUUAUUGGGCGUAAAGCGUCCGCAGGUGGUUAUUCAAGUCUGCUGUCAAAGACCACAGCUUAACUGUGGGCAGGCAGUGGAAACUGGGUAACUAGAGUACGGUAGGGGUAGAGGGAAUUUCCAGUGUAGCGGUGAAAUGCGUAGAGAUUGGAAAGAACACCAGUGGCGAAGGCGCUCUACUGGGCCGUAACUGACACUCAGGGACGAAAGCUAGGGGAGCGAAAGGGAUUAGAUACCCCUGUAGUCCUAGCGGUAAACGAUGGAUACUAGGCGUUGCUUGUAUCGACCCGAGCAGUGCCGUAGCCAACGCGUUAAGUAUCAC